GAAAACUUGGAAACUACCGUUGGAUCGAGAAAUGGACGUCCGAGAUUCGUCCACGUCAUCAUGAGUUAAAAUUUAACUCCUAGUAAAAUUUUAACUCAUGAGUGAAUCUGCGAGUUAAAUUUUAACUCAUGAGUGAAUCUGCGAGUUAAAUUUUAACUCAUGGUGACGUGGACGAAUCUCGGACGUCUAUUUUUCGAUUCAACGGUAGUUUCCAC
rnacentral:pre_miRNA from 1 species